rnacentral:rRNA from 1 species
UAGUGGCGGACGGGUGAGUAACGCGUGAGUAAUCUGUCUUUAUCUGGGGGAUAACAGUUGGAAACGACUGCUAAUACCGCAUAAGACCUCAACUACGAAGGUAGAAGGGGUAAAAGAUUUAUCGGAUAGAGGUGAGCUUGCGUUUCAUUAGUUAGUUGGUGGGGUAAUGGCCUACCAAGACGACGAUGGAUAGCCGAUCUGAGAGGAUGACCGGCCACACUGGAACUGAGAUACGGUCCAGACUCCUACGGGAGGCAGCAGUUGGGAAUAUUGGGCAAUGGAGGAAACUCUGACCCAGCAACGCCGCGUGAAGGAAGAAGGUUUUCGGAUUGUAAACUUCUGUAAUAGAGGAAGAAGAAAGUGACGGUACUCUAUUAGAAAGCUACGGCAAACUACGUGCCAGCAGCCGCGGUAAGACGUAGGUAGCAAGCGUUGUCCGGAAUAACUGGGCGUAAAGGGAGCGUAGGCGGUUAGAUAAGUCUGGUGUGAAAGUCUGUGGCUUAACCAUAGAAUUGCAUUAGAUACUGUUUGACUGGAGUACGGAAGAGGUAAACGGAAUUACUAGUGUAGCGGUGGAAUGCGUAGAUAUUAGUAGGAAGACCGGAGGCGAAGGCGGUUUACUGGGACGAUACUGACGCUGAGGCUCGAAAGCGUGGGGAGCAAACAGGAUUAGAUACCCUGGUAGUCCACGCCCUAAACGAUGGAUACUAAACAAAGGUGGUAUCGACACCAUCUGUGUUGCAGCAAACGCGAUAAGUAUCCCACCUGGGGAGUACGAACGCAAGUUUAAAACUCAAAGGAAUUGACGGGGACCCGCACAAGCAGCGGAGCAUGUGGUUUAAUUCGAAGCAACGCGAAGAACCUUACCAAGGCUUGACAUAGGAUGCAUAGGUAAGAAAUUACUGAAGUUAUAGCAAUAUAACAUCCAUACAGAUGGUGCAUGGUUGUCGUCAGCUCGUGUCGUGAGAUGUUGGGUUAAGUCCCGCAACGAGCGCAACCCUUGCCAUUAGUUGCUAACAUUAAGUUGAGGACUCUAAUGGGACAGCCGUAGAUAAUACGGAGGAAGAUGGGGAUGAUGUCAAAUCAUCAUGCCUCUUACGCCUUGGGCUACACACGUGCUACAAUGGGGGAUACAAAGUGAAGCGAGAUAGUAAUAUAGAGCAAAACACAAAAAGUCCUCCUCAAUUCAGACUGUGGGCUGAAACCCGCCCACACGAAGACGGAGUUGCUAGUAAUCCCGAAUCAGAAUGUCGGGGUGAAUGCGUUCCCGGGUCUUGUACACACUGCCCGUCAAGCCAUGGAAGCUGGGGGUGCCUGAAGUCGGUGACCGCAAGGAGCUGCCUAGGGUAAAACUGGUGACUAGGGCUAAGUCGUACAAGGUAACC